AAAACGACUCUCGGCAACGGAUAUCUCGGCUCUCGCAUCGAUGAAGAACGUAGCAAACUGCGAUACUUGGUGUGAAUUGCAGAAUCCCGUGAACCAUCGAGUCUUUGAACGCAAGUUGCGCCCGAARCCAUUAGGCCGAGGGCACGUYUGCCUGGGSGUCACGC
rnacentral:rRNA from 1 species